rnacentral:lncRNA from 1 species
CUUUUCUUUCUCUUUCUCUUCCAAACCUUUCUCUUUCUCUUUCUUUUCUUUCUCUUUCUCUUCCCAUCCUUUCUCUUUCUCUUUCCCUUCCCUUCCUUCUCUUUCUCUUUCCCCUCUUCCUCUUUCUCUUCCCUUUCUUCUCUUUCCUUCCCCUCCUUUCUCUUCAUCUUCCCUUCCUUUCCAGUCUUCCCUUCCUUUGCUUUUCUCUUCCCCUGUCUUUUUUUAUUCCUCUGAACAAAGCAGUACACUGCUGUUCACACCUAAGUUCACCUGACUGGCAACUUUCAUUCCUACAGUGCUCGUUCCCUUUGUCUUGUAACCUGACAUGUUUGUAAAUUCUGGGGAUUGGGAGGGGAUCAGAUCCUGCCCAUCACAAUUACAAAAAUGCCUCUUUCCUUUUUCUUAAAACUACAUGCUUAGAGAGGCAGCAGGAGUAAGUCUGGAGAAGCAGGUGUAUUUCAGGUCUAGAUUCAGCCUCAUUAUUAUUGAACUUCAUUGGUUUGGAUAUUACCUGGAGUGGUAUUGUCUCUUUCCCUAAAUUGCAGUGAUGGAAGGACUUCUGUGAUGACCUCUGUAACUCAUUUUAUUUUUUAUUCAUGAGGAAACGGAGAGUUGGACUGGCGAAUAGCUUCCCUCUGGUCUCUCUGCUUGUGGAGCAGAGGAAGACCUCUAUCAAAAUCAGCAUCCUUGGUCCUUCAUCCACUGCUCCUACUCAUCAAUUACACAAAAUUAUUUAUUUCUGUCUUUCCUAACCCUGAGACAUGUGGGCUGUGACCCUCAGAAGGCAUUUAAUUCUCUGACUAACACAGUCUCUGUUUGUGUGCACAGGACUGAAAAGCAAUUACAAUAAUUGAAUAAGAUGCUUACAUGAUUUUUGCUGCAUUUGCCACCCAAGGCACAUAAUGAGCCAAGGAGGCGACUGCCUAGCAUUUGGUUGGACUGCCAUGGUAUCAGGAAGAUGCAGAUAAAUUGGAAGAAGUCUAGAGGAGAUCGGCUAACACAAUGGAAGGAAGGGAAAUUGAAGCAGUGGUACAGGAAAUGCUUCACUGAGCAGCCAGUCAGCUGGAAGAGAGUGGGCUCUGGGAUGUCUACGAGCAUUUUCAAACUGAAACAAAAUGAGCAGCAAGUUGCCAGAUGCAUCUUCCCCUUCCUCGCCGUCAUACUCCCUUUGAAAUCAGCCAGCCGCUCACCUGGAUAGGACCCUGCACCUGCUGGAGCAAUACAGCCUUCAUCCCAGCAUGCUUCCCAUCUUGGUGGCCAAUACCGAGGAGGGUACCUUCCGCUGAACUUUUACCAUAAAAAUAAAAAAUGGCAGUAUCAGGAGACA